CAAACAAACAAGCCGAGACUUCCAGUUGGCUGGAAGUGCGGGGGAUGAUAUUGCGAAAGAAAUUUCGCUUGGGGUGAAUCGCUUACAGCGAUGGGUUGUAUCCUCAACCCAAAUCCGACAACUAACCUCGUAGGCAGAAAAAAGGAGACGA
rnacentral:sRNA from 2 species